AGUGAACGCUGGCGGUAGGCCUAACACAUGCAAGUCGAACGGCAGCACAGUAAGAGCUUGCUCUUACGGGUUGCGAGUGGCGGACGGGUGAGGAAUACAUCGGAAUCUACUUUUUCGUGGGGGAUAACGUAGGGAAACUUACGCUAAUACCGCAUACGACCUACGGGUGAAAGCAGGGGAUCUUCGGACCUUGCGCGAUUGAAUGAGCCGAUGUCGGAUUAGCUAGUUGGCGGGGUAAAGGCCCACCAAGGCGACGAUCCGUAGCUGGUCUGAGAGGAUGAUCAGCCACACUGGAACUGAGACACGGUCCAGACUCCGACGGGAGGCAGCAGUGGGGAAUAUUGGACAAUGGGCGAAAGCCUGAUCCAGGCAUACCGCGUGGGUGAAGAAGGCCUUCGGGUUGUAAAGCCCUUUUGUUGGGAAAGAAAAGCAGCAGGUUAAUACCCCGCUGUUCUGACGGUACCCAAAGAAUAAGCACCGGCUAACUUCGUG
rnacentral:rRNA from 1 species